GCGAGGAAAGGAAACAGCAGAAGUAACAUAUGCCCAACGCAAGCAGAAAGUGAUGAGACAGCAGAAGGCGCGCUGAGGGGCUCAAAAUUCUCGAGGGGCCCACCCCGUAUUGGAGUUGUGUGGGCUGCUUGUCUGAGCAGAUCUGUUCUGUUUGACCGAACUCUCGUGCUCUUCCUCCUCCAAUGCCAGGUUUCGGAAGUAUAGGACAUAAUGGGGUCUUUGAAAGAAGCGUAAAGAAGGCGAGAGAAAGCCAGCAACUCCGGGGGUCUCAGGGGACGGGUUUCCUGUCUCGGCGUUCUUUCACCCGUUUGCCCCUCCACGGCUCGCAGUCGCCAGGCUGCUUUCUGAGCCAGCGUCGCACUUUCAACACUGGAAACUUGUGUCUUGUGCGUGUAUAUAACUGCAGCAUUGCUCCCACCAAAAAGAAUUAAGCGGCUCUUCGAGGACUCACUGUGACCAUCGCAUGUUCCCUAGGCAAUUAGGUUUGGAGGCACGGGUGACCGUGUUGUUUUUAGUUGUCGUGCUCUUGCCGAUACUGUCAAGUCAGAAUUGGUCACGCAGUUUUUAUCACCUCGUCAUUCCACAACGAACUAUUUGUCCACUUCCUGGAGCUUGUCGCUAAGACCAUGUAUCUUGUAAGAUCUGCAGUCAGUGCCCUCUGACGUUCUGCCAGACUACCAGUGCUCGUGGAGCCGCUCAGAAACUGGACAGUAUUGAUGUGUCGCUUCGUCCGAAU
rnacentral:lncRNA from 1 species